CUAGGUCUCAGUUCAGACNGCAGGCUGCAACUCGCCUGCACGAAGUCGGAAUUGCUAGUAAUCGUAGGUCAGCAUACUACGGUGAAUACGUUCCCGGGCCUUGUACACACCGCCCGUCAAACCAUGAGAGUUGGCAACACCCGAAGUCGGUAGUCUAACCGCAAGGAGGACGCCGCCGAAGGUGGGGCCGAUGAUUAGGGUUAAGUCGUAACAAGGUAGC
rnacentral:rRNA from 1 species